AGCCUCGAGGUGUUCAACACGUAGGCCUGCAAAUCCUAAGAAGCAGGCUAAACACCUGCCGAGGCUU
rnacentral:tRNA from 1 species